GGAGCGGUUCUGAAACCGUCGCCAAGUUCGGCAACACUUUUCGGCCCUAAAAAGGCACGUAAUUCUGUAACAUCUUUGGAACAUCCCUGGAACUUUCAACACAGCUUCCACUGCAUUGCUUGGUGAUCAUGCGGACUUCAUUUGUUGUAUUUUUUAUGACCCUGGAAGUGACGCUAUCAGGCUUCAUGAGCCCUGGUAUCGGUUAUCCAACAAAUGGCCUUGCGCUUCCAUUGAACCUUGCACCUCUCCUAAGACAGUCAUCCGCUGCUGCAAGACAAGCUGCCAUACCAGCUUUACUAGGUCAGCAGCAAGGCCUGGCUCUGGCAGCAGGAGGAAUGGCUGCCAUGGCUCCCAUGGCUCCCGUGGCUCCCAUGGGUUAUCAACUAGUCCCGAUGCCGAUAAUGGUUUAGCCGCAUUAGACA